GCGAGGUGGUGCUAAUCCUAGAAAGUUUCUCGUAGUCCGGAUUGGAGUCUGCAACUCGACUCCAUGAAGUCGGAAUCGCUAGUAAUCGCGGAUCAGCAUGCCGCGGUGAAUACGUUCUCGGGUCUUGUACACACCGGCCGUCACACCAUUGAAGUGGAUUGCACCAGAAGUAGAUAGUCUAACCUUCGGGAGGGCGUUUACCACGGUGUGCUUCAUGACUGGGGUGAAGUCGUAACAAGGUAGCCGUAGGGGAACCUGUGGCUGGAUCACCUCCUU
rnacentral:rRNA from 1 species